AGUGAACGCUGGCGGUAGGCCUAACACAUGCAAGUCGAACGGCAGCACAGUAAGAGCUUGCUCUUACGGGUGGCGAGUGGCGGACGGGUGAGGAAUACAUCGGAAUCUACUUUUUCGUGGGGGAUAACGUAGGGAAACUUACGCUAAUACCGCAUACGACCUACGGGUGAAAGCAGGGGAUCUUCUGACCUUGCGCGAUUGAAUGAGCCGAUGUCGGAUUAGCUAGUUGGCGGGGUAAAGGCCCACCAAGGCGACGAUCCGUAGCUGGUUUGAGAGGAUGAUCAGCCACACUGGAACUGAGACACGGUCCAGAGUCCUACGGGAGGCAGCAGUGGGGAAUAUUGGACAAUGGGCGCAAGCCUGAUCCAGCCAUACCGCGUGGGUGAAGAAGGCCUUCGGGUUGUAAAGCCCUUUUGUUGGGAAAGAAAAGCAGCAGGUUAAUACCACGCUGUUCUGACGGUACCCAAAGAAUAAGCACCGGCUAACUUCGUG
rnacentral:rRNA from 1 species